rnacentral:lncRNA from 1 species
GUUCCGUUGGCCUCCCCUCCUAUUUGGGGAAGUGGUAGAACACUGGAGGCCAGCAAUUGAUUGCAUCAAAUGCCGGUGGGCAAGGUGUUUGUGCCUGCGGAACACCUUGGAGGUUUGGUGCGACGAAAACAAGUCCCAUGACCCAGCCUUCGUCCUCACUUUGGAAUAAGCACAAAGAUGAACUUGCAAGAUAGGAUGCAGUGAACAAAAACUAGCUUACAAACUAAGUGCCUUUGGAGGUCAAGAUCAGAGUGGGGACGGGGUGGGGUGGGGGGCUUUCUGGAAGAUAUAGAAUUUGUGUCAGUCUUUGACGCGUGGAAUGCUCUAGGCCAGUGGAAGUUGCAAAAAGCCAAGAAUGAAGAUGGCAGGAAAUGUAAGAGUUUAAUCUUAUUUGGAGGUUUAUGUUGGAGACCUCAUUAGAGGGCUGGAGGGCCUUUUGGCCUCACUUGGAAAAAGGACUUACGGGUUGACUUUCUAAAGAAGACCAAAUGAAGACACAGAGUUACCCCUUGUUUUAAACGGCUUUUUAUUUGCUGUGACUAAAGGACUACUAGAACAUCUGUAGAGAAGGAAAGGUUUAU